AUUGAACGCUGGCGGUAUGCUUAAGACAUGCAAGUCGUGCGGUAGAAGGCUUCGGCCUUUGAGAGCGGCGGACGGGUGAGUAACACGUGGGAAUCUGCCUAUUAGUGGGGGACAGCCCAGCGAAAGCUGGAUUAAUACCGCAUACGCCUACGGGGAAAGCAGCAAUGCGCUAAUAGAUGAGCCCGCGUAAGAUUAGCUAGUUGGUAAGGUAAAGGCUUACCAAGGCGACGAUCUUUAGCUGGUCUGAGAGGAUGGCCAGCCACAUCGGGACUGAGACACGGCCCGGACUCCUACGGGAGGCAGCAGUCGGGAAUAUUGGACAAUGGGCGCAAGCCUGAUCCAGCAAUACCGCGUGUGUGAAGAAGGCCUGCGGGUUGUAAAGCACUUUCAGUUGGGAAGAUAAUGACGUUACCAACAGAAGAAGCACCGGCUAACUCCGUG
rnacentral:rRNA from 1 species